rnacentral:rRNA from 1 species
CCUACGGGAGGCUGCAGUGGGGAAUAUUGCACAAUGGGCGCAAGCCUGAUCCAGCAACGCCGCGUGAAGGAUGAAUGCUUUCGGCUCUUAAACUUCUAUCUACAGAGACGUAAGAAAUGACGGUACCUGAUUAAUAAGCCCCCGCUAACUACGUGCCAGCAGCCGCUGUAAUCCGGAGGCGGCGAUCGUUAUCCGGAGUUACUCGGUGUAAAGGUUUAGUAGGCGGCAUGGUAAGUCAGAUGUGAAAGUCUUGGGCUUAACCCGAGUAUUGCAUUUGAAACUAGCAAGCUAGAGUACAGGAGAGGAAAGCGGAAUUCGUGGUGUAGCGGUGAAAUGCGUAGAUAUUAGGAAGAACACCAGUGGCGAAGGCGGCUUUCUGGACUGAAACUGACGUUGAGGCACGAAAGCGUGGGGAGCGAACAGGAUUAGAUACCCGUGUAGUC